UAGGAUCCUUUUGAAGAAGAGAAGGACACGUCGAAGGGAAACCAGCCGCCGACGUUCGACCCCCUGCAUGAAACUUCGUGUACGGCGUCCUUUAAAAAAAGUAACAAAAGCCGGCUGACCUUUGGAACGCGCCGAGAAAAGGUAGCCGAGCUUUUCAACCGUCCCGCGCCCGAUCGGACGCCGAUCUUUCCAACCGUACUCGCCGCGGCGGCAUCGGAAUCCCCGCGCGCUACGCCCAUAUAAUGUAAUAUCGCGUUUGCGAGGACCAGACGGCAUUAGACAUCCUAAAAACAAGCCACACCCAACGGGUAUAGGUACAGCUCGAGAAUUCCGUACAUGGACUCGAGUCCUCGAGAGUCCUCGUUCCUCGGGGUUCGCUCGUGUAAGCGUACAGGAGAAUCUGGCGGGCCCGAAAAGCCUGGGUUUUUGAAACAAAAAUUUUCUCCAACGUCCGCCGCAAGGCCAAACGGAGGCAGAGCAAAGCGGUCGAAGGAGGUGCGUGCAGCUGCGAGACUACGGAGGGCAGAGAGGGAACUCGGGAGGAGGAACCGGCGAGGCGAGAAGACGCGGUGUGGUUAGUGGGGAGCUAAGGGGGCGAGAGAAGAGGGAAGAGAGAAGAGGGUGUCGGGUGCCGUUCCGCUGCGGGGUGGGGGACGGCGCCGGGGCGCGCGUCGCGACGUCGGUCUCAGUGCGCGCGACGUUCCUAUCUCGCACCAUACCUACUUACCAUGAUCGGCCUUGUUUCAUGAAGGUGCACGGUGCAGGUUCGUCGUUGGCGGUGCAGCGGAAACUACACGCGGUGUGAUCGCAUCUUGGUUUAAUUCGUUACACAUUUUCUGAAGACUAUUUUUCGUUCUUCUCCAAAGUAGAACUCGGAGACGAUCGGUAUACCGCCAAUUUUCGCCGUUACCGUCUCUGCUCCGCGCGCGGAGAGCGCAAGAAAUCGCAGCUCGUCGAUCGCCGAUCCGCACGCUACGCUGACGUCGGACCAGACAGUGAGACCGACUACUGCUCGAUGUUUGCCUGAGUGACAGCCUGCACGUUUUGCGGAUGAAAGUCGGUUGUACGAAUUUUUGAUUCAUUUUUUGUUCGACGAACCGAUAGCCGCUGACCACGACCGUGCGGAUUAAUGCGUCGAGAUGUUUCGAUAGAUGGUGUAAAUAUUGCGUACGUUUAGGAGGUUUGAUUGGAAAAUCAAAGUCGAAUGCACGACGAGCACUGUACGCAUUGAAUCUGCACGACAGGGAUCGAUAGUGAUGAGUGUGAUUUAAAAGAAACGCAACUGUGCCGCAGAUCGUUCGAAAAUUUUCGCUGCUCCGCUUCAGCCCCGCACCCUUCGAGAAUAAAAGGAUUCCUCAUGCGGCGACGAGGAAUUCACCCUCUUGGCUCCCCACCGCAUCUACGGUCAUUCAGAGCAGCUGAAGAACGGGAAGUCAUGGACUAGCCGCUGCCGUCACAGGUUCACCAACCCCUGCAACGAGGGAAUAGGG